rnacentral:sRNA from 2 species
ACUGAGUCACCGCCUUAACGGCUGUCGGGGCCAGUGUGAUCUCGGCUGCCGUGCCGGGGAUACCCACAGCGCACUGGGGUGAAUCCGCGCCAGGUCGACAGCCUGCGCGGUAGGGCCGAUCUUCCCGGCCCGAACCCGUCGGGUGAACCGGUCGGCGGGAGAGCAAGGAAGA